AAUUCUUUAAAUAUAUCUCCUAUUUUAAUGUUAAACUUUUUUUCAGGCAACACAAAUGGGUUGUGAACCAAAUUUAUGGGAGAUAUUUAAAAAGUUACACCAAAUAAAGGAUGGCAGUUUUGUGGAUGCCAAGUCGAAGAGCAUUAAUGAAAGUUUGCCUAUUUACGCUUCUCAUUCUUUAAAUCUUGAAAGAUAAAAUGGAGGUUGUCAUAGCCGCUGCUCUUUCGGGCUCAUCAGGCGAUUCAUCAAUUCAUCAGAAGAUCAAGAACUCGAAUAAAUCACAUGUACUUUGAUGUUGCGGGUGGAGCAAAAAAAUGAUGUGUGUAUGGAUUGGACUCUCAAGCUUUAACCUUGUAUAAAGAUAGUACGUGCAAUUUGCCUGUAGUGUUGGUUUCCAUUUGAGGCAACAAAGUGACGAUCGAUUCAAAUCUACGGAGGAGCAAUGGUCUUGCAUGAUGAGCGAUAUGAAAUUAUCUUCUCGUUCAUUUAGUAACCUUGCUCUUCCUAAUAGGGAAUCAUCUAAUGUUUAAGUGUUUAAUAUUUUAAGACUUAACUUACUUGAAGUGUCGACUUGAACAUUGUCACACUUUUUUGGGUAGUUAUAUGCUUUAAAUUUUAAACAUUGGUAGACUUUUGCUUAUUGAAGUUGUGACUUUUUUGGGUA